rnacentral:rRNA from 1 species
CCUACGGGCGGCAGCAGUGGGGAAUAUUGGACAAUGGGGGCAACCCUGAUCCAGCCAUGCCGCGUGUGUGAAUAAGGCCCUCGGGUUGUAAAGCACUUUCAGUGAGGAAGAACGCCUGGUGGUUAAUACCCAUCAGGAAAGACAUCACUCACAGAAGAAGCACCGGCUAACUCCGUGCCAGCAGCCGCGGUAAUACGGAGGGUGCGAGCGUUAAUCGGAAUUACUGGGCGUAAAGCGCGCGUAGGUGGCUUGAUAAGCCGGUUGUGAAAGCCCCGGGCUCAACCUGGGAACGGCAUCCGGAACUGUCAAGCUAGAGUGCAGGAGAGGAAGGUAGAAUUCCCGGUGUAGCGGUGAAAUGCGUAGAGAUCGGGAGGAAUACCAGUGGCGAAGGCGGCCUUCUGGACUGACACUGACACUGAGGUGCGAAAGCGUGGGUAGCAAACAGGAUUAGAUACCCCAGUAGUC